rnacentral:rRNA from 1 species
UACGUAGGGUGCAAGCGUUGUCCGGAAUUAUUGGGCGUAAAGAGCUCGUAGGCGGUUUGUCGCGUCUGCCGUGAAAGUCCGGGGCUCAACUCCGGAUCUGCGGUGGGUACGGGCAGACUAGAGUGAUGUAGGGGAGACUGGAAUUCCUGGUGUAGCGGUGAAAUGCGCAGAUAUCAGGAGGAACACCGAUGGCGAAGGCAGGUCUCUGGGCAUUAACUGACGCUGAGGAGCGAAAGCAUGGAGAGCAAACAGG